rnacentral:lncRNA from 1 species
GAAUAGUAACUCGUGAAUAGUAACUCAUGAAUAGUAACCCUGACAUGAAAAAGUUCCAAAUUUGAUAAAAAGUUCAAACCAAUAUUUCGGCAUAAUGAUAUUGAAGAAAUAAUAUCAUUUAUGAAGAAAAUAAUCUCCCUUACCUCAGAAAGAAUAGUACUUCUGACUGAAAUACUGGAUAUAGUGCUAAAAGAACUUGCACCGUAUAGCA